CUCCACAGCUGUGAACACUGUCUGACACGUUCAACUCAAAGAUCAGAGACGAUGGGAGACUGGGGUUUUCUGUCCAAGCUGCUGGAUAAGGUCCAGUCCCACUCCACCGUGGUGGGGAAGGUCUGGCUCAGCGUGCUCUUCAUCUUCAGGAUCAUGAUCCUCGGAGCCGGAGCUGAAAAGGUUUGGGGUGACGAACAGUCCAACAUGAUCUGCAACACCAAGCAGCCCGGCUGUAAGAACGUCUGCUACGACCACGCCUUCCCAAUCUCACACAUCCGAUUCUGGGUUCUCCAGAUCAUCUUCGUCUCCACGCCGACGCUCAUCUACUUCGGUCACGUCGCCCACGUCGUCCACAAAGAGAAUAAACUGAGAGAACGAAACUCCAGGAGCGAAGUCGUCAAAGCCCCCAAAUACUCUGACGAAAAAGGCCACGUGCAGAUUAAAGGCAGCCUGCUGGGGAACUACAUGACCUCCAUAUUUUUCAGAAUCAUCAUCGAGGUGGGGUUCAUCGUGGGGCAGUAUUAUCUGUACGGGUUCAUCAUGGAUCCCAGAAUCGUCUGCUCCCGAGCUCCCUGCCCCUUCACCGUUGAGUGCUACAUGUCUCGACCCACCGAGAAGACCAUCUUCAUCAUCUUCAUGCUCGUAGUCGGGUGCGUCUCUGUUCUGCUCAACGUGGUGGAGAUCUUCUACCUGCUGUGCAAACGCUCAUCCAGAAGAAAGUCUAAAGCGGUGCCAGAGGCGGCGAUCACUCUUCAUCCUCGCCUCAAUGGUGACAGUCUGAAGAAAAAUGGCCUCCAUGACAGCAGUCACAGUCACGCCUGAGGAGCUAAAGCCUGAGAGCAGCCUCUUACUAUUCUGCUAAACCACAGCCCACAUGUGUAAAACCUAAGUUAUUUAUUUAUUUGACACUUAAAACUUUUAAAAUUACACAAAUUUGAGGACACACACAUAUGGACUGCUUAUUAAUAAUCACGUUCAAAUAUUUAACCCUUGUGUCGUCCUCCCGGGUGGAAAACCUUGGAAAACCUUUGUCUCUCCCUUCUAGCAGUAACAAACACUGUCAUCAUGGCUGCAGACCCCCGACCCUUUUUACAUGAACUGAUGCGGUUGGCGUGAACUAAAGGCAGCGACAGAACAAUCACUGCUGGUUAAAGUAAAACACAUCAAUACCUGUGAGUAAAACUCACCACAGACACCAGAUAUAAAAACUCUGUAUACUCUAAAAUACAGAGAGAUUUACUUACUGUGUGAACUCAUUAAGCUUGAAUGUAAUUUAGAUUAUUUAUAUGUAAAAGUCCCACACUACCACUGUAAUACCACAUGAACCACUUUUGAAUAUUGGCGCCCCCAAGUGGUAGAUUCUCACUAAUGUUAUCUUUGUACAAAUGUGUAAAAGUCAUUUUAUAGAGAGAGAAGCUGUCUUGUAAAGUGUGUAAGUACAGCGUUACGUUACUUAUUAAAUCACUUAUUUAAGAUUGCAGCAUGGCGUUUAUAUCUGUAAAUAUUUUGAUUAUCAAUCAAUAAAGUUUUUCUGUGUUUUAUAUUUUAAAAUAACUGUAUAUGUUUUUUGUAUUUCACUGAAAACAUAAUAAAAUUAUUUUAAAAA